rnacentral:rRNA from 1 species
GCGAACGCUGGCGGCAGGCCUAAUACAUGCAAGUCGAGCGGCCCUUCGGGGCAGCGGCGGACGGGUGAGUAACGCGUGGGAACGUGCCCUUUGGUACGGAACAACUGAGGGAAACUUCAGCUAAUACCGUAUGUGCCCUUCGGGGGAAAGAUUUAUCGCCAUUGGAGCGGCCCGCGUUAGAUUAGCUAGUUGGUAGGGUAAUGGCCUACCAAGGCGACGAUCUAUAGCUGGUCUGAGAGGAUGAUCAGCCACACUGGGACUGAGACACGGCCCAGACUCCUACGGGAGGCAGCAGUAGGGAAUCUUGCGCAAUGGGCGAAAGCCUGACGCAGCCAUGCCGCGUGAAUGAUGAAGGUCUUAGGAUUGUAAAAUUCUUUCACCGGGGACGAUAAUGACGGUACCCGGAGAAGAAGCCCCGGCUAACUUCGUGCCAGCCGCCGCCGUAAAAC